rnacentral:rRNA from 1 species
AUUGAACGCUGGCGGAAUGCUUUACACAUGCAAGUCGAACGGCAGCACGGACUUCGGUCUGGUGGCGAGUGGCGAACGGGUGAGUAACAUAUCGGAACGUAUCCAAUAAUGGGGGAUAACGAGUCGAAAGAUUCGCUAAUACCGCAUACGCCCUACGGGGGAAAGCUGGGGACCUUCGGGCCUGGCGUUAAUGGAGCGGCCGAUAUCUGAUUAGCUAGUUGGUGAGGUAAAGGCUCACCAAGGCGACGAUCAGUAGCUGGUCUGAGAGGACGACCAGCCACACUGGAACUGAGACACGGUCCAGACUCCUACUGGAGGCAGCAGUGGGGAAUUUUGGACAAUGGGCGCAAGCCUGAUCCAGCCAUUCCGCGUGAGUGAAGAAGGCCUUCGGGUUGUAAAGCUCUUUCGCAAGGGAAGAAAACUUAGCCACUAACAUUGGUUGAGGUUGACGGUACCUUGAUAAGAAGCACCGGCUAACUACGUGCCAGCCGCCACCGUAA